CAAAUCUCGUUUUUUUUUAACCGAGAAUCGGCAAAUCAUUUUAAGAGUGUAGGCUAUCCAAACCCAACUCCUACUCAAUACGUCCCCGUCGUACAGAACAGUAACAUGUUUCUCAAUUAUCCAAGGUUGGGAAUACGGGAAACCCAACCCCUUGAGCGGAUGGGUUGCAUGGUUCAAUUGAGAGAA
rnacentral:ribozyme from 1 species